CCUACGGGAGGCAGCAGUGAGGAAUAUUGGUCAAUGGCCGGAAGCCUGAACCAGCCAAGCCGCGUGCAGGAUGACGGUCCUACGGAUUGUAAACUGCUUUUAUACGGGGAUAACAUCCCGCUCGAGUGCCGCUCUGCGUGUAACUUAUGAAAAAGCACCGGCUAAUUCCGUGCCAGCAGCCGCGGUAAUACGGAAGGUUCGGGCGUUAUCCGGAUUUAUUGGGGUUAAAGGGAGCGUAGGCCGGCUGUUAAGUCUGCGGUGAAAUGCCCGGGCUCAACCCCGGCCUUGCCGGGCGAACUGGCGUGCUUGAGACGUCGGGAGGGAUGCGGAAUGCGUAGUGUAGCGGUGAAAUGCUUAGAUAGGGCGAAGAACGCCGAUUGCGAAGGCAGCAUGCCGGCGGGGAACUGACGCUGAUGCUCGAAAGCGUGGGUAUCGAACAGGAUUAGAUACCCGGGUAGUC
rnacentral:rRNA from 1 species